UCAGCAUCAACAAUAUCUGGAUUAUCUUGUUGGAAUUUUCUUUUCCACCGAAUUCGAAAAGUUUCGAGAUCUUUUGUUCUUGGCACAUAAGGUUUCACACCCAAUGCACCUUGCAUUGUAUUAGUGACAGAAGCAUUUGGUGAACUCAAAAAUUCAGCUGUUAGACCAUCAGUCAUGAUCCAAACAUAGCCUUCACUCACCAUGCCAAUCUCUUUUGCUUUGGCAAAAACCCGAGCGCCAAGAGAUGGAAACAUGUGCACAAUGAAAACUCUAGUUUGCAUUGU